CGAGUAGGCGGUGGAGCAAGUCUGAGGUGGAAUCCUAUGGCUUAACCAUAGAACUGCCUUAGAAACUGUUUCACUUGAGUCAGUGAGGGGAGGGCGGAAUUCCUGGUGUAGCGGUGAAAUGCGUAGAUAUCAGGAGGAAGGCCUGUGGCGAAGGCGGCCCUCUGGCACUGCACUGACGCUGAGGCGCGAAAGCGUGGGGAGCAAACAGGAUUAGAUACCCUGGUAGUCCACGCCCUAAACGGUGGGCAUUAGGUGUAGGGCUCGUAAGGGUUCUGUGCCGAAGGGAACCAUUAAAUGCCCCGCCUGGGGAGUACGGCCGCAAGGUUGAA
rnacentral:rRNA from 1 species